rnacentral:misc_RNA from 1 species
UUAAGUUCAGCGGGUAUUCCUACCUGAUCCGAGGUCAAACUUUCAGAAGUUGGGGUUUAACGGCGUGGCCGAGCCGCGCUCCGGUGCGAGGUUUCAAAAGUUACUACGCAGAGGAGGCUGCGGCAAGACCGCCACUGAAUUUAGGGGGCAGGGGCCCGAAGGACCCUGAUCCCCAACACCGGGUCCCCUGAAGGGGUCCC